GCGGGCGGGAGCGGGUCCCGCCGGGGCGGCCAUGGCGGCGCUGCGCUGCCUCCUGCUGCUGCUCUGCGCCGCCGCCCUGGGGCCCGCCGCCCACCUCGGCUUCGCCCAGCGCCGCGCCCAGGCGGCACACAUCGAGGUCAACCCCCGCGGCAACCUCUGGGCCACAGGUCACUUCAUGGGGAAGAAGAGCGUCGCGGGCUCCCCGCACCUGGAGUCGCCGGAGGAGCCUGCGGUGCCGAUGGCCUUCGGUCCCUCUCUCAGAGCCUUGCUGGAGGACAUGAUGGAACUGCUUACCCGUGAGCUCCUGAAAAUCCUCUUGCAAGAGAGACUUUUGGAUGAGAACCAAGGAAAAUACGACCUCACUGACCAGUCACUGCAAGAAGUAACUGAGAGCCUAAAAGGGAUGAAAUCCUCUUAGGUGGGUCCUACGUGUGCUAUCCCACUGAGCUGCUGUGUUUGAGGAGCUAUCAAGUCACACUGCAUGCAGCCUUUGAGGAGGAGGGCAUUUGCUGCAUUAACUGCCUGAAACGAUGGGAGAGCUGGUGGGUGUGCUGCCCUACCUUGCCCGCGAAGAUGUUCGUGAGCGUGUGGUGUGAGUUGGAUAAGUGACCCCUGUGGCUCUGCGUAGGUGAGUCGCAUGGUCACGGCUUGCGCUGCAGAUGUGCUGGGGCAGAGGCUGCCCCGAGCACCGGCGCCGUGUCUCAGACCGCCAGCCGGGUGCCAGUGCUCACUCCCAGUGCUCCAAGGGUAGCACCCAGCACUGGCCAUUGGCCUUUGGCAAGUGGGUGCUGGGUGUCGGAGUUCUGCUGCUGGAGGGCAGUUUGGCUCGUGGUCAGGCAGAUGCUGGCCAGCUGCCUGCCCCGCUGCCCCUCCGGUGGGAUGCCCUGCGCAGCUCAGGUGCCUGAUGUGCAGCUGGCUCCCACCCCUCCCCUUCUCCCCUCAAUGCCUCUCGCCUCUCCUUGGCCAGUGCCUCAGUGUGCCAGCCGCGUCCUCUCGGUGGCAACGGAGACUUUGCUGGGUGAUAGGUCUGGUUCUGCCCUUCAGGCACCUCUGAGCACCUCCCGAGACUCAGCUCCUGCCUUCCUGCUCCUUUCUUCGACACCUGUCCCCCAAGGCAUCCUUGCCUCUGAGCUGCUGGUUGAUAUUACAGGACUACUCCCCGGUGCCUUUGAGUGCUGUCUGUGUUAUUUUUUUUUUUCUUGCUCUUGUGGGUGACACGGUGCCAAUGCAAAUUCCUGCCACCCUGACAGCUUUCUCCCUCACUGUGACUGUUGUCGGACACCUGGGGUCAGCACCCAGCCUGUGCUUGAACUGAUCUCAGUGCCAUUUUCAUCACCUGCCUAACGAGCCGUUUAAUAGCUGCGCUCUGUGAAACUCUGUCCACCCCAUGCUCAGGAUCUGUCACUUCCAUCUGAACUUGGUUUAGAAAAACACAGAUGCUUCUCCCUUCCUUGGGACCCCCUGGUCAGCAAGGCAGGAAUUCAUGUGAUCUAUGCUCCAGCACAUGUGCUGUGCUUCAUGGCAGGGUAAGUAUCAAGGCAACUUGACUUUUAUUGGGAAAACCCAAUGGGCUUUUCCUUUUCUGAGGAUGUCACUGAUCAUUUGCAAACAGGUUCUUCCCUUCUGUGGGACCUCCUCUAAGCAUUAAACAAAUCCGAGGGCUUAGUCUUUUUGCUUGUGCUCUCUUCACCUGGGUUAGUCUUGCCUACUGCUGUUGGAUUUCAUUUUAGGAUGUUUCCCAUGUGCUGCUCUGUGCUUGUGAUGGCAGAAGUCGUGCAGAGCAGAAGGGGUUUGCAAAUGGGGAUUUCCGUUUUGUCUUUUUAACCACAUGUUAAGCAGGGCUCGGCUCUCAGCACACUGGGGCUUCACGGUGCCACCCUGUUGCUGCGUGUCACAAGGAUUUGUCUGGCAGAGGGGUAUCGUCCCCAUCCCUUGUCAUCUUCGUGGGUGUGUGGCAGUAUUUCACCAGGAGACAGGGUGAAACCAUGUGUGUGGACUGGAAUGGCUCCAGGGGUGUGGGGGAGCCCUUCUGCGUGAAGGCAGAUGCCGCCUUGCGUGGCUCUGGGACCUCUGGGCAGUACACAAUCCCCCCAAAAUCCCUCUAUAACUCUUCCUUGUUCUGUUUUGUGUCUCUCUUUGCCUUCUUGCAUGGCGCUCUGCUGAAUCAGGCCCCGAGGCUGCUCUUGUUCCUGAAGCCCAACCCAGGGGCUGCUGUCUCAGUGGGCUGGUGAAAUUUGCCUCUGAUGGCUGACAGCUGUGGUUCAGCAGUUGGAGCACAGGACGGGAGGCAGGAGCCAAGGUCCUAGCUCUUUCCUUCUCACGUGCUGUCCCAAGCCACCCCUGAAAGUGCCAUCAUGGUCCAGCGUGGGACAUUUGUCUGAUCGUCUGCCCCGUGGUACCCGGCAGGUGAUGUUGGUGGAGGCUGUGGAUGGGACGCAGUGUCUCACU